GAUGAACGCUGGCGGCGUGCCUAAUACAUGCAAGUCGAGCGAACAGAUGAGAAGCUUGCUUCUCUGAUGUUAGCGGCGGACGGGUGAGUAACACGUGGGUAACCUACCUAUAAGACUGGGAUAACUCCGGGAAACCGGGGCUAAUACCGGAUAAUAUUUUGAACCGCGUGGUUCAAUAGUGAAAGACGGUUUCGGCUGUCACUUAUAGAUGGACCCGCGCCGUAUUAGCUAGUUGGUAGGGUAACGGCUUACCAAGGCGACGAUACGUAGCCGACCUGAGAGGGUGAUCGGCCACACUGGAACUGAGACACGGUCCAGACUCCUACGGGAGGCAGCAGUAGGGAAUCUUCCGCAAUGGGCGAAAGCCUGACGGAGCAACGCCGCGUGAGUGAUGAAGGUCUUCGGAUUGUAAAACUCUGUUGUUAGGGAAGAACAAAUUUGUUAGUAACUGAACAAGUCUUGACGGUACCUAACCAGAAAGCCACGGCUAACUACGUGCCAGCCGCCGCAGUAA
rnacentral:rRNA from 1 species